rnacentral:lncRNA from 1 species
GUUUUGUAAAUUUUAUUUUGGUUUAUUAGGGCAAAAGCGGUUCGAGGAUGAAGAUCGGAGCAAGGAUUUUGUUUGAUGUCGUGGAAUAUUGCUUUGAGCUGAUACGAUUGGCUUGAGGUGCGUGCCAAUUUUGGGAUUUUGACUUGGGUGGAGGUAUUGGUUGUAAGUGUUUGGCUUCUAAAUCUGAUUAUUGAUUUGGGUAAGUGAAACCCUAAAAGAGAAGAAAGUCGUCGCAGAUAGGUUGUUCACUGUUCACAGAUUCAGCCCUUUUGCUCAUCCGCCAUCAUCACGGCUAGUCAUGGCUGUCGGCGGCAGGUCCGGAAGGUUACAUGGGGGUAACCAUCCCUCAAGGCACUUAACGGCGCCGUCAAGGGUUAAUGUGUGAGCUGGUGCAUAGUUCCUCUCACUGUCAAGUGUUGUUUCCACAUCCCCCUUCCAAAUGUCACCCGUCAAAUACCAAAUUGGGAUGAAACGAUUAAGGAAAUUCUUAUGUUUUUCAGGACUUGAUUCAAUGUUUAAUAGGUGUCUCAGCUAUGGGAUUGAAAACCCCAAUUUGGUCUACAUCAUUUGAAUCAACUAUGUGCAAAGAUUAUGAUUUGUGUGUGUGUGUG